GAAGAUAUGAAAUGGUGAGAUAUAGAUACGUAAUGGUACGGGUAUGUACAAAAAUUCAAUUGAAUAUUGAAUACAUGAAAUUGAGAGUUUAUGAUCAUUGUGGAAUUGAACAUCAUUUAAACUUGUGAUUAAUGACUUGUAGUAUAUUAUGUUCAUAUUACUUGAUUGAUGAAUGAAUGGUGAGUGUUGUUUAUUAAUUCAUACGAGCUUACUAAGCUUUAUAGCUUACUUUGUU
rnacentral:lncRNA from 1 species